rnacentral:rRNA from 1 species
UACGUAGGUGGCAAGCGUUGUCCGGAUUUACUGGGCGUAAAGAGCGCGCAGGCGGUCAGAUAAGUCGAAUGUGAAAGCCCCGGGCUCAACCUGGGAACUGCAUUUGAAACUGGCGGGCUUGAGUGUGGCAGAGGGGGGUGGAAUUCCGCGUGUAGCAGUGAAAUGCGUAGAGAUGUGGAGGAAUACCGAUGGCGAAGGCAGCCCCCUGGGCCAAUACUGACGCUCAUGCACGAAAGCGUGGGGAGCAAACAGG